UACGUAGGUGGCAAGCGUUGUCCGGAUUUAUUGGGUUUAAAGGGUGCGUAGGCGGUCUUAUAAGUCAGUGGUGAAAUACGGCAGCUCAACUGUCGAGGUGCCAUUGAUACUGUAGGACUUGAGUACAGACGAGGUAGGCGGAAUUGACGGUGUAGCGGUGAAAUGCUUAGAUAUCGUCAAGAACACCGAUAGCGAAAGGCAGCUUACUAGGCUGUAACUGACGCUGAGGCACGAAAGUGUGGGGGAUCAAAACAGG
rnacentral:rRNA from 1 species